GACGAACGCUGGCGGCGUGCCUAACACAUGCAAGUCGAACGGAACUGUUUUGAAAGAUUUCUUCGGAAUGAAUUUGAUUUCGUUUAGUGGCGGACGGGUGAGUAACGCGUGAGUAACCUGCCUUCAAGAGGGGAAUAACAUUCUGAAAAGAAUGCUAAUACCGCAUGACAUAUCGGAACCACAUGGUUUUGAUAUCAAAGAUUUUAUCGCUUGAAGAUGGACUCGCGUCCGAUUAGUUAGUUGGUGAGUUAACGGCUCACCAAGACCGCGAUCGGUAGCCGGACUGAGAGGAUGAGCGGCCAAAUUGGGACUGAGGCACGGCCCAGACUCCUACGGGAGGCAGCAGUGGGGGAUAGUGCGCAAUGGGGGCAACCCAGACGCAGCAACGCCGCGUGAAGGAGGAAGGUUUUCGGAGUGUAAACUUCUUUUAUUAAGGACGAAAAAUGACGGUACUUAAUGAAUAAGCUCCGGCUAACUACGUG
rnacentral:rRNA from 1 species